UCAGGAAACACACCUGUCCCUGGUUGUUAAUCAGGUGGCUUGUAGGUCAUCGCUAGUCAGACGAGGCUGGUUGAUGGUUUUUGUACUCGUGCACGUUGUGCUCGACCCAGUGUUCCUCUGUACUUAAUCAGCAUCGCCGUGUUUUCGCCUGAGUGCCCUGGGCGGCAUAAUCGUCAAAUCCAUCAACACACUCGCUUGGCAUCAGAUCAGCACGGCGCCCUUUGAAGGAGAUGGACGUCACCGUUUUAUCAAGCAGACAAAGCAGAGAUCCCUUCCGGCGCGGAACAACUACUUUCAGCGCACCCUCUCAGCAACACAAGUAGGGCCAGCCAAUCAGAGCAGCCUGCCAGGCAAAAACAGCAAAUGCACUCAAGACCAGGACUGAGGAAAACCGGCACGUAAAGCUGCAAAACACACACACCCCACAACUUCACCGAGCGCCAAAACUAGCGUCAAGAAAUUCUUGACACACGCAAAAUGUAAUGUUUGUAAAUGUUACAUCAUUAGCAAAAAAGGGGAAAUAGCAGCGUGUUCGUCAGCGAGUACAAAGACAAGCCGUGGUUCUUAGAAUUGCACCAGCGCCUGCAGGGGCUGUGAUAUAUACCUUAAGGUGGGAGCCAACAGGAAGUGAGAACCUCGGGGGCAACAGUGAGGGGGAAGUGCCUACAGGUCCAGAGUCACCGCUGGGGGCUCUGUUUAAAGCGGGAAGGAUCGGGGCGAAGCGUUUCAACAGGAAAUGGAAUAUCGAAAGGAUGAAACCGCCAACGUCAAAUUGGUGCCGAGAUGAAAAUAAAUCGCAGGCAAUUGAUGAAUAAAAAAUAUUUUUUUGUC